rnacentral:tRNA from 1 species
GCCGCUGCCGCUGGGCGAAGGCCUGUGGUGGCUGCACAGCGAGCGCCAGGUGCGCCAGCCGGGGCUGGCGUUCAUCACCCCGCAGCAGCC